CGGCAAGAGCUCAAAUUUGAAAUCUGGCUCUUUCAGGGUCCGAGUUGUAAUUUGUAGAAGAUGCUUUUGGUAAGGUACCGGUAUAAGUUCCUUGGAACAGGACGUCAGAGAGGGUGAGAAUCCCGUCGAAGCUGUCUACCAGACCUGUGUAAAGCUCUUUCAAC
rnacentral:rRNA from 1 species